ACUUCCCCCAGACCCAGCCCGGCAUAUUGAACACUUGAAUUCCCAUGAUGCUGUGCUGGCCAGGAAUUAUAGUUGCUUGAACUCUAACUCAUCCGGAGAGACAGGAGGGAUCGGAUAGCAGGUCUGUCACAUAAUUUUAAAAGAGAGGGAAAAGUCCCGGGGAUCCGAAGCUAGUUGUCAGAGCUAAGCUGAUAAAUCUCUCACCAGUGCAAUUUUACCUGGGUUCACUUAGAAUUCAGCAAAGGGAUUUACCCUCAGGAACUAUGAAAUUCAGAAGCCACAUCGCAUGGGAGAAUGAUUCCUGGGUUGGAAGAGCAAAGAAAAGAGAUGGUCUUCAUUUUUCCCUUCCAGGAAUAAUGGCCAGUUUUCUUAAAGGCAUUUGGCUGCUUUUGGUCUUGUCCCAAUUCAGCAAAAGUCAUUUUAUAUCUUGCUGGCUGUAUAAUACUGAUAAAAGAUAUUAUCAACAUGCUCAAAGACAUAGUAGGCAAAGAAUCAUGAAUCAGCAUCUUUUUUGACUAUUGAAUUUUAUUAAAGCUCUCAUAAACUUUUAUCUUUCAAUCAAAUGAAUCAGUUACAUAGAAAAAGUGCUAGCAGAUUUUUGUGGAAUAUGUUCAAAGUAUUUGCGUGUUCUGUGUCCCUCUAUUCAAAUGAUGUAGGUAAUGAAGCCUUGCAGAAAUG